CCUACGGGUGGCAGCAGUGGGGAAUAUUGGACAAUGGGCGAAAGCCUGAUCCAGCCAUGCCGCGUGUGUGAAGAAGGCCUUCGGGUUGUAAAGCACUUUCAGUGGGGAAGAAAGCCUUGGGGCUAAUACCCUCGAGGAAGGACAUCACCCACAGAAGAAGCACCGGCUAACUCCGUGCCAGCAGCCGCGGUAAUACGGAGGGUGCGAGCGUUAAUCGGAAUUACUGGGCGUAAAGCGCGCGUAGGCGGUCUGAUAAGCCGGUUGUGAAAUCCCCGGGCUCAACCUGGGAACGGCAUCCGGAACUGACAGGCUAGAGUGCAGGAGAGGAAGGUAGAAUUCCCGGUGUAGCGGUGAAAUGCGUAGAGAUCGGGAGGAAUACCAGUGGCGAAGGCGGCCUUCUGGACUGACACUGACGCUGAGGUGCGAAAGCGUGGGUAGCAAACGGGAUUAGAUACCCAGUAGUC
rnacentral:rRNA from 1 species